rnacentral:rRNA from 1 species
UGAGGAACAUGACCUUCGGCGGGGGAGUAGCCGGCCCAACGGCCGGGUAAUACCGCGUACGACCACAUGGGGACAUCCCCGAGUGGUGAAAGCAGCAAUGCGCCGAUGGAGUGCCUCGCGGCCUAUCAGCUAGUUGAUGAGGUAACGCUCACCAAGGCGACGACGGGUAGCUGGUCUGAGAGGAUGGCCAGCCACAGUUGGGACUGAGACACCGGCCCAGACCUGUACCGGGGAGG